rnacentral:guide_RNA from 1 species
AAACGCAAAAAGUGGUUAUCGUGAGUCAGUAAAUUAAUGAUA